UACGUAGGGUGCAAGCGUUGUCUGGAAUUAUUGGGCGUAAAGAGCUCGUAGGCGGUUUGUCGCGUCGGCUGUGAAAACCCGGGGCUCAACUCCGAGCUUGCAGUCGAUACGGGCAGGCUAGAGUUCGGCAGGGGAGACUGGAAUUCCUGGUGUAGCGGUGAAAUGCGCAGAUAUCAGGAGGAACACCGGUGGCGAAGGCGGGUCUCUGGGCCGAUACUGACGCUGAGGAGCGAAAGCGUGGGGAGCGAACAGG
rnacentral:rRNA from 1 species